UUACCUAAACCAUUUUAACAAAUAAAUGCAACAUCUUUCCCCAUUUAUUUUCCUCCCUUGCAGUCUGGUGCAGAGAAGAACCCUCACAGCCCUGGACUGUAGCAGAUAUUCUGGUUCGCAUGUUCCAUAUGAAGGAAGCCAUGUAUUAAAUUGGGAUGAGCCCUUGCAUUUCAUCACAGAAACAAAUAGAACUUCACCAGCAUCCUGAAGUCUCAACAAUCUGAUGAGCAACUCCAAGUGGAGAGGUAGGAUGAUGAGAGAGGAAGAACACUGCUUCCAGUGACCCAAUGAUUUUCCCCCAGGUAAGUAUUGCCCAGGGCAGAAAGGGUUACAGUAAAUAGGCUCAGUAAUAUAUGCACAUCUUGCCUCAGUGUCAAGGGACUCUAAGAACAGGAACGAAGCACAGGUCCUAGCGUGGUUAAAGAUAUAGCUUUAGAUUUUC
rnacentral:lncRNA from 1 species